UACAGAGGGUGCAAGCGUUGUUCGGAAUUACUGGGCGUAAAGCGCACGUAGGCGGAUUGUUAAGUCGGGGGUGAAAUCCUGGAGCUCAACUCCAGAACUGCCUUCGAUACUGGCGAUCUCGAGUUCGGGAGAGGUGAGUGGAACUGCGAGUGUAGAGGUGAAAUUCGUAGAUAUUCGCAAGAACACCAGUGGCGAAGGCGGCUCACUGGCCCGAUACUGACGCUGAGGUGCGAAAGCGUGGGGAGCAAACAGG
rnacentral:rRNA from 1 species